rnacentral:miRNA from 11 species
ACAUGCUUCUUUAUAUCUCCAUA